GGAUUGAAAAUGUUCGGGGUCCGUGGAUGGGACAGGAGGCAGUCAGGAAGAUCAAACCACAACAAAAAUGAUCCCUAAGAUGAGCAGAACAACAUACUAAAGUUUCAGCCUCCUCUGUGCAGGGGGUCCAUUUAAGGCCCUCCUCUGAAACUAGAAAAAAUGAUGCUGUGUCAUGCAUUGACCCUGAGAGGGUUCGUCAAGUGAACAUGGUUUUGGAUCUAAUUAAGGACUUGUGAAUGUGCCACAUUCACCAAAUUUCACACACGUAUUCUUAGGCCUCAGACGAGUCUAUCCUGGUAGUUUCAGACCCCUGGGUUUUAAGAAACCCGAACAGGAGCUGAUUAGACUGUCACUUUUUUUGCAACAUUAAAUGUCAAAAAUCAGGUCAAAAUAACUUCAAAUGAGCUGAAAUUUUCUGUGGGUAUUCAGACUUUGGGAAGAAAAAAUUAUGUGCAAUAUCAUGGCUCUACGCUCUUUUGUUGGCUACUUCCUGUUUGGGAGGGGCCACAGACUUGGUUCCACCGGAAUAUGAUUCUAUGACUUCCAAAGGUGUCAUAGAUCAAUUUUUAUAUCUGUAGAUGCAUCAGAGGCCAAAUGACACCAAAAAAGCAACAGGGUCAAAACAGGCAGGCUUCAUCACUACAAGUAGGCCUCACACAGUCAAAUGAGACCCGUAGAACACCAAAUGAACAGUUGAAGGCAUCAAAAUCAUCAGGAGUCACUCCUCACUCCAUGCUAAGUGCUUUGAGAGCAGGCCUGGGGUCUAAAACACCUUAGAAAGGCUUUUUUGAAACUAUUUGAGACCUAAUUUAUGCUAAAAGCUAAGUCCACAUACCUGUUUGCUUUUGUCUUCUCAUUUAGCUCCUGAAGCAGAUACAGAUAUGGAACUACACAUGCAUGUUCCUAACAGGGUCCUGCAUGUAUGACAGAAGUUUCAGCUCAUUUGAAGCUAUGAUGACAGAGUUAUGAGGCUUUGCCUGUAGCAUUUAUUAGCAUUGGAUUGAAAAUGUUCGGGGUCUGUGGAUGGGACAGGAGGCAGUCAGGAAGAUCAAACCACAACAAAAAUGAUCCCUAAGAUGAGCAGAACAACAUACUAAAGUUUCAGCCUCCUCAGUGCAGGGGGUCCAUUUAAGGCCCUCCUCUGAAACUAGAAAAAAUGAUGCUGUGUCAUGCAUUGACCCUGAGAGGGUUCGUCAAGUGAACAUGGUUUUGGAUCUAAUUAAGGACUUGUGAAUGUGCCACAUUCACCAAAUUUCACACACGUAUUCUUAGGCCUCAGACGAGUCUAUCCUGGUAGUUUCAGACCCCUGGGUUUUAAGAAACCCGAACAGGAGCUGAUUAGACUGUCACUUUUUUUGCAACAUUAAAUGUCAAAAAUCAGGUCAAAAUAACCUCAAAUGAGCUGAAAUUUUCUGUGGGUAUUCAGACUUUGGGAAGAAAAAAUAAUGUGCAAUAUCAUGGCUCUACGCUCUUUUGUUGGCUACUUCCUGUUUGGGAGGGGCCACAGACUUGGUUCCACCGGAAUAUGAUUCUAUGAUUUCCAAAGGUGUCAUAGAUCAAUUUUUAUAUCUGUAGAUGCAUCAGAGGCCAAAUGACACCAAAAAAGCAACAGGGUCAAAACAGGCAGGCUUCAUCACUACAAGUAGGCCUCACACAGUCAAAUGAGACCCGUAGAACACCAAAUGAACAGUUGAAGGCAUCAAAAUCAUCAGGAGUCACUCCUCACUCCAUGCUAAGUGCUUUGAGAGCAGGCCUGGGGUCUAAAACACCUUAGAAAGGCUUUUUUGAAACUAUUUGAGACCUAAUUUAUGCUAAAAGCUAAGUCCACAUACCUGUUUGCUUUUGUCUUCUCAUUUAGCUCCUGAAGCAGAUACAGAUAUGGAACUACACAUGCAUGUUCCUAACAGGGUCCUGCAUGUAUGACAGAAGUUUCAGCUCAUUUGAAGCUAUGAUGACAGAGUUAUGAGGCUUUGCCUGUAGCAUAUAUUAGCAUUGGAUUGAAAAUGUUCGGGGUCCGUGGAUGGGACAGGAGGCAGUCAGGAAGAUCAAACCACAACAAAAAUGAUCCCUAAGAUGAGCAGAACAACAUACUGAAGUUUCAGCCUCCUCAGUACAGGGGGUCCAUUUAAGGCCCUCCUCUGAAACUAGAAAAAAUGAUGCUGUGUCAUGCAUUGACCCUGAGAGGGUUCGUCAAGUGAACAUGGUUUUGGAUCUAAUUAAGGACUUGUGAAUGUGCCACAUUCACCAAAUUUCACACACGUAUUCUUAGGCCUCAGAAGAGUCUAUCCUGGUAGUUUCAGACCCCUGGGUUUUAAGAGACCUGAACAGGAGCUGAUUAGACUGUCAAUUUUUUUGCAACAUUAAAUGUCAAAAAUCAGGUCAAAAUAACUUCAAAUGAGCUGAAAUUUUCUGUGGGUAUUCAGACUUUGGGAAGAAAAAAUAAUGUGCAAUAUCAUGGCUCUACGCUCUUUUGUUGGCUACUUCCUGUUUGGGAGGAGCCACAGACUUGGUUCCACCGGAAUAUGAUUCUAUGAUUUCCAAAGGUGUCAUAGAUCAAUUUUUAUAUCUGUAGAUGCAUCAGAGGCCAAAUGACACCAAAAAAGCAACAGGGUCAAAACAGGCAGGCUUCAUCACUACAAGUAGGCCUCACACAGUCAAAUGAGACCCCUAGAACACCAAAUGAACAGUUGAAGGCAUCAAAAUCAUCAGGAGUCACUCCUCACUCCAUGCUAAGUGCUUUGAGAGCAGGCCUGGGGUCUAAAACACCUUAGAAAGGCUUUUUUGAAACUAUUUGAGACCUAAUUUAUGCUAAAAGCUUAGUCCACAUACCUGUUUGCUUUUGUCUUCUCAUUUAGCUCCUGAAGGAGAUACAGAUAUGGAACUACACAUGCAUGUUCCUAGCAGAGUCCUGCAUGUAUGACAGAAGUUUCAGCUCAUUUGAAGCUAUGAUGACAGAGUUAUGAGGCUUUGCCUGUAGCAUAUAUUAGCAUUGGAUUGAAAAUGUUCGGGGUCCGUGGAUGGGACAGGAGGCAGUCAGGAAGAUCAAACCACAACAAAAAUGAUCCCUAAGAUGAGCAGAACAACAUACUGAAGUUUCAGCCUCCUCAGUGCAGGGGGUCCAUUUAAGGCCCUCCUCUGAAACUAGAAAAAAUGAUGCUGUGUCAUGCAUUGACCCUGAGAGGGUUCGUCAAGUGAACAUGGUUUUGGAUCUAAUUAAGGACUUGUGAAUGUGCCACAUUCACCAAAUUUCACACACGUAUUCUUAGGCCUCAGAAGAGUCUAUCCUGGUAGUUUCAGACCCCUGGGUUUUAAGAAACCCGAACAGGAGCUGAUUAGACUGUCAAUUUUUUUGCAACAUUAAAUGUCAAAAAUCAGGUCAAAAUAACUUCAAAUGAGCUGAAAUUUUCUGUGGGUAUUCAGACUUUGGGAAGAAACAAUUAUGUGCAAUAUCAUGGCUCUACGCUCUUUUGUUGGCUACUUCCUGUUUGGGAGGGGCCACAGACUUGGUUCCACCGGAAUAUGAUUCUAUGAUUUCCAAAGGUGUCAUAGAUCAAUUUUUAUAUCUGUAGAUGCAUCAGAGGCCAAAUGACACCAAAAAAGCAACAGGGUCAAAACAGGCAGGCUUCAUCACUACAAGUAGGCCUCACACAGUCAAAUGAGACCCGUAGAACCCCAAAUGCAGAGUUGAAGGCAUCAAAAUCAUCAGGAGUCACUCCUCACUCCAUGCUAAGUGCUUUGAGAGCAGGCCUGGGGUCUAAAACACCUUAGAAAGGCUUUUUUGAAACUAUUUGAGACCUAAUUUAUGCUAAAAGCUAAGUCCACGUACCUGUUUGCUAUUGUCUUCUCAUUUAGCUCCUGAAGCAGAUACAGAUAUGGAACUACACAUGCAUGUUCCUAACAGGGUCCUGCAUGUAUGACAGAAGUUUCAGCUCAUUUGAAGCUAUGAUGACAGAGUUAUGAGGCUUUGCCUGUAGCAUUUAUUAGCAUUGGAUUGAAAAUGUUCGGGGUCUGUGGAUGGGACAGGAGGCAGUCAGGGAGGUCAAACCAAAACAAAAAUGAUCCCUAAGAUGAGCAGAACAACAUACUAAAGUUUCAGCCUCCUCUGUGCAGGGGGUCCAUUUAAGGCCCUCCUCUGACACUAAAAUGUUCACUGAAUUGCCAAUUAACACAUAGUUUGUCCCGGAAAUUACGUAUAAUGAAUGAAUUAUUAUAUAAUAAUGAAUCAUUGCAUAAGAACUUUCAUAGGAAAUUGUAAUAUUUUAGUUCUUAAAGCAAGCAUCCGCAGGUAUGCUACUGUUAAUAAAGACUUUCAGUAAACAUUGCCUUGUUUCUCCAGAAAAAAAGGAUACCAUGCAUUUACUGUAAAUACUUAAUCAUAUCUGAAUUUUUUCACUUUUUUAUUUUCAUUUAAACAAAUAAUACAGAGUUGUUGCAUUAUUUAACUUUAGUGUUUAAAACUUAAUGAAUGUGAGUCAUAUCUCUGAUGUUUUUUAUUUUUUAAUCAGGCUGCUCUCAUAAAAUAUUCUUAUUACUGAAUACUGGUAAAUAUGCACUUGUUAUUACUCUUUAUUUACAGUUUUAAAUAACUUCUUAUAUCAUGUGUUGAAUAAAAUGAAGUCUAUUAAACUGCAGCACUCAUGGAGAGGGUCUGCUUAGUAACUCCUAUGUAAUUAAGGUGCAGUACCGUAUUCAUACACCAGGGGAGCUCCGGAGUAAAUCAGUGUGAAAAUUUUUGUUGCAGUUCUGUAAUCAUACACCAGGGGAGCUCCGGAGCAAAAUCAGUGUGAACGUUCCAGAGUAAAAACCAUGAAUUUGUACAAAAAUGAGGACUGCUUUGAAACUGCUAGGGUAGCAUCUAUAUGGUCUUGGGAGUUGAUUUCAAUCAACUCAAAGUGAGGACUAGCCUAAAUGUCCUCACUUCCCAAAAUAGACCUCACACUGUGGGUUAAAAACUGUAGCAAGUCCUCACUCAGCAGCAAGUACAAGAACACACACACACACACACACACACACACACACACACACACACAGGCCUCUCUCUGUGCUGAACUAGUUGCUAUUGAUCGAAUCAGAGGAGAUGUCUGAGGAGGAGAGGACUGUUCAGGGCUCGGGGAAUAGACUACCCUCAGCUCCCAGCUAAUAGAUAGCACAGAUUGCCUGUGUGUGCAUGUGUGUGUGUGUGUGUGUGUGCAUGCGUGUGUGUGUGUGUGUGAUGGUACAGAUUGUCUGGUGUAAGCUGUUAGGCAGAGGCCUGUCUUUUCACAGGCUCCAUUGACUGAAGCGCAGCGUGGAGAUGCUCGCAGCCUGAUGAUCGGGCUGAUAACGGGUCUGAUGUGGCUGAAUGAGCCCCGCCGGAGCCCAGCGAGCAGGGAAAUACAAUUUGGUAAAUAGUGAUGCUUACUUGUGUGAGACAAAUAGGCCAUUUGGUCAAAUAUCAGGACAGCAAUCAGGCAGGAAGGCAGCAGAAAAACCAGAGAAAGUUGGACAAAGAAAAGGAUCUCCAAACGAGGAAAACAAAUCUUCUUGCAAAUAGCGUUCGCUGUUUUUUAGUAAACGCGUCUCUGAAUGACUAAACUUCUCAAAAACCCUGCAGAGCUCAUUUUUUCCUCUUUGAAGAUAUAACCUGGUAGAUUUCCAGAGAAAUAAAUGUCUGUAAAGUCAGACAAUAGUGGCAGAGCCAGUGGCCUGCAGCAUUUGCAGUAUUCGGUGGUUUUUAUGACCUGGUGUAGAGCCAACAUUCAUCCAUCACGCAGGCGGGUUCGGUCCUCCACAGGGACUGAGAGGAAGCUGGGAACUGGUCCUCUCACGUCUCUGUGAAGAUGCACCAGUUUAAAAAGAUGAAAAGAUGAGAGACUUAUAAACAUGUAAACAGACGAAAAACUAAAAUGCAAACAUGAAGCUGCAGUUCCUCGAGUGUCCACUGGAGGCCAUCUCCAAAAGUGAGUAAAUCCCCAUUAUGGUCCAUGUUAGAGGGAACCCAUAUUCAAAUAUGCACAAAUCAUGAGGAUAUGAAGUGAUAAAUAGAGAAAGCACAGAUCUACUAAUACUAGAUGUUCCUAGAAUACUAUGAAUAUCUUCACUGGUCAACAAAGAUGGCAGCCUUUGACGAGCACGGUCAACUAACAAUAUAAAUAACGCUAAACUGUAUGCUAGCAUAUGCUAAUGUUAGCCCUAAAUCAUCACAGAUUAGCGAUAUUUGUGAGGGAUCGGAUGAGGAGCUUCUCUAGUAGGGAUAGUAAUUGUUAAGAUUUUAUUGAUAUCGAUGCUAUUAUCGAUUCUACUUAUUGACUUAAUUCCUUAACGGGUCCCUAAUCAAUGUCUCUCUUUGAUUUAAAAAAAAAAAAGUAGACUAGAGGUUUUCACCAUUAACUCCAAAUUUUAUUGAGUCUUGGAUAACAGAAAAAGAAAUAUGUCCUACUUCGGUCGGUAAUACGUUGUUAAGUCUGACAUGCAUUGCGCUUACGUUAACACAGGACAUAAGUAACUUCCACGCCGUGCUGAGACGGAGCAGCAGCGGCUGACAGCCAAUAGAGAGCAUCGAAUACACGACUCCUUACAUUUGAUGCCAUGCCCUGUUGGCAUAUGUUUAAGCAUGUUGCUGAUGUUUCCACCUUUACAUGUUAUCACGGCUCAACAAACGUUGCACGUCGUGCUGUUAUCGUCUUUCUUUGUUAAAUGAAGCCACGCUUUCGUACCAUCCGCCAUGUUUUUUUCCUCAAAGUCUCUGUUCUUGUUUGCGUAGACUGGCACUCGUGAGACCAUUUCCAAGGCAUCAUUAAGGGAAUCAUUAAGAUAAAAUGUAAACGAUGUCGAAGGAUUGAACCAUUUGGAACCAGUUCUCAACAAGAACCGGUUCUCGAUUCCCAUCAAAUCUUUCCCUGGAUGUUACAGAAGUUUUCAUCGGUCUAACGAAGCGAGUAGAUUUUACGGUAAAUCUAAACAUCGUACUUUUCGAUAUUUAGGGUUGAUAUUGUAAACAGACCCUCCUAAACCAAGAGUAGCCGGUCUGAGUCAGUGUAUCUGUGAAAUUUAAUCACACUAAACGACAGCUAACCUUUCAAACACAACAAUCGAAAAGAAGAAACUAAAUCUGUGGGCGAAUGUCACAGUUUGGGGUUCUGGUGGGAAGUGAAUAAGAGGAAACACAUUUUCUAUCAUGUGAUGAUUUAAUUAAUGGCUGUAAACAGACAUCUGCGGACGUAAGCAGCGAACAAUCUGCUCUUGGACGUCGUCACCUCUUUACGCCUGCUCCUGUCUCGCUCCUCAAGCUGCCGGCUGGACCUUAAACAAAAGCAACACACGGAAGAGGACGCCACAGUCAGAGAGCUUGUUUGGCUAAUCGCUGACUACCUGAGGAGUCAAUUAUCACUUUUGAAGUUACAGUUCCUGAUUUAAUUUUAAAGUGUGAUAAUAAGCUGCAGCGACUAUUUCUGCUGUGGGUAACAAAUAUAAUAAAUAAACUCGUGUUGUUAUUAAAUCUCAUCGGUGCACACGCUCUGAGCUCCUUGUGAAACAGAGUUCAGUGCCUCUUCCUCUCCCAAACAGUCCUGAAUCAAAUGCUGUCGGUCCGUUCAUCGUGGAAAGCUCUGCUCUGAUUGGUCCCCUCUGUCUCUCUCUCCCGGUGUCAGCACUCUGCUCGCCUCGCUGCAGCGCCUGCCAUUAAUCCCCGUCAGCCGGGCCCGCUCUCACAUCAUAUUUCUGCUGUUCUGAUGGAACAUAUGGAGUCCCUGUUCAGCCAGCACUCAGAGAGCUGCAUAAUUCACCAGCAAACAGGAGACGUCAGCCGGGCUCUGCACCGGUGGCCCUCUGAGUGAAACUACACCUAAGUACAUUUACUCCGCAGUGUGUGCUGCCGCCGCUGCUGCCGCUAAUACAACACCACAGCUUUAUAAUGUGUUGAUGGAUGAUCUGAACCCUGUUUCAUAAAGGAAACACGGACAACAUACUGAGAAAUCAAUCAGCAGGUGUAGAGAGUGAUUUAUUGGCUGUUAGAUUUAAAGGUGUUCCACAGGGCGCGAUUUUAGGAACACUCAUGUUUGUAGGUUUGAUUGAUUUUGAUGCAUUUGAUUAAAUUUUUCUGAACAUGGUCAUAAAAGGCUGAAGUAAUAUUAUUUUAAUACACCAGGGUGAGACUUUUGAGGCUUUGUUUAAAUAUCAUGUUAUAUAUAUGUGGAUGUGGAUAUAUUGUUUAUAUUUUGUUUCUCAUUUGCUUGUCUUAUUCAAUAUUUAUUUAUUAUAUUGGUUUUUUUUUUUGGACUGCUAUGACAAUUUAAUUUCCCUUUGCGGAUUGAUAAAGACAUCUAUCUAUCUAUGAAAAUGAUGUAGAUAUUAACGAGAAAUCAGAGAGGAUGUAUACCCACUGCGCAAUGCGACGCUGAAAUGACAUCUAUUCAACGUAUUUUUUCGACAAUGAGGUACGAAUGUGGACGUCAUUUCAACGUCUAAAAAAGGUCUAAUAACGACGUCUAAAUCUUGGAUCAAUUUUGCAUGUUGUGCCGACAUCUAGAUUUGGUCUUCAGAUGACGUCCAAAUUCUAAACGUCAGAGCGACGUCUAAAAAAGGUCC
rnacentral:lncRNA from 1 species